GACGAAUGCUGGCUGCGUGCUUAACACAUGCAAGUCGAACGGUGAAAGGGAGCUUGCUCCCUGGAUCAGUGGCGAACGGGUGAGUAACACGUGGGCAACCUGCCCCUCACUCUGGGAUAACUCCGGGAAACCGGGGCUAAUACCGGAUACGACCUGGUGCGACAUCGCACCGGGUGGAAAGAACUUCGGUGAGGGAUGGGCCCGCGGCCUAUCAGCUUGUUGGUGGGGUAACGGCCCACCAAGGCGACGACGGGUAGCCGGCCUGAGAGGGCGACCGGCCACACUGGGACUGAGACACGGCCCAGACUCCUACGGGAGGCAGCAGUGGGGAAUAUUGCGCAAUGGGCGAAAGCCUGACGCAGCGACGCAGCGUGAGGGACGAAGGCCUUCGGGUUGUAAACCUCUUUCAGACGGAAAGAAAUCGUCACUUCUAAUACAGGUGAUGGAUGACGGUACCGUCAUAAGAAGCACCGGCUAACUAC
rnacentral:rRNA from 1 species